UGAGAAGCUUUGACUAAGGUUCGAUUCGAGCGCAGCGAGAAAGCGUUGCCGCAGGCAACGACCCGAAGGGUGAGGAGCGGAGCGACGAAUAAUCCUUCCCCCACCACCA
rnacentral:sRNA from 1 species